rnacentral:rRNA from 1 species
ACGCAUCUGUGCAUGCAGCAUAUCAAUAAGCGGAGGAAAAGAAACUAACAAGGAUUCCCCUAGUAACGGCGAGUGAAGCGGGAAGAGCUCAAAUUUGAAAUCUUAAAGGGUUUCCCUUUACGAAUUGUAGUUUAAAGAAGUGUUUUCUGUUGAGGUUUUGGUAAAAGUUCUUUGGAAUAGGACAUCAUAGAGGGUGAGAAUCCCGUAUUUGACCUUUACUUUCAACUUUGUGAUACACUUUCAAAGAGUCGGAUUGUUUGGGAAUGCAGUCCAAAAUGGGUGGUAAAUUUCAUCUAAGGCUAAAUAUUGGCGAGAGACCGAUAGCGAACAAGUACCGUGAGGGAAAGAUGAAAAGAACUUUGAAAAGAGAGUUAAACAGUACGUGAAAUUGUCAAAAGGGAAGCGUUUGACACCAGUGUUGUUUUUCUGAAAAUCAAUUAAAGAACUGUUUAUGCUAAGUUGUUUAGACUUUAUCAGCUAACUGUUUAGUUUUGAGCUUUUCUUUAAUGCACUUUUCAGUUAACAAGUCAACAUCAAUUUCUUUUGCUGUAAAAAAGCUUGAGGAAGGUGGCUUGAGAUUCGUCUUAAGUGUUUAUAGCCUCUUGCCUAUGCAGUCGGAGAGAUUGAGGUCUGCAGCGUAGAUCCUUCGGGGCUAAAUGCAUUUGUGCUAAGUUAUAACAUUUUAUAGACAACUUGUUGACUAUGAUUUGUCUUGUAGCUUACUCGCUUAUGUUAUUUUACCUACGCUUAGGAUGUUGACAGCAGUAUAGACUGU